GGCCCUUCAGUAAGCACAAUUGGUACAACCCAAAACGUCAGGUCGAGGUGUAGCGUAUGGAAAGGGAAGAAAUGGGCUACAUUCCCUAUUAC
rnacentral:rRNA from 1 species